rnacentral:snRNA from 1 species
GUGCAAAUCGUUCGUCUGACUU